rnacentral:lncRNA from 1 species
AUGCUUUAUCUUCUGCAGAGGCAUCGCGAUGUGCUGAGGCUGCAUGGAGGAGGCUGGAAGGUGCCCCUGUUACCUGGGCAAUUUGUGAGCUUCGUGUUACAAAGUGAUGUGCCCUGGACUUUCAGCAUGUGUUUGAGGGGAAGGAGAGUCUCACACAAAUCAAUAUUGAAAAGUUCAGAAGAUUUUGCUGCAUGACACACGCAGAGGUGAAACUGACAAUUUCAUUCACAACGUGUUCCCAGCUGCUUGGUAAAUUGAGAUCAAGCACCUUCAUCUUAAUG